rnacentral:rRNA from 1 species
CCUACGGGAGGCAGCAGUGAGGAAUAUUGGUCAAUGGGCGCGAGCCUGAACCAGCCAAGUCGCGUGAGGGAGGACGGCCCUACGGGUUGUAAACCUCUUUUGCCGGGGAGCAACGCGCGCCACGUGUGGCGUCACUGAGAGUACCCGAAGAAAAAGCAUCGGCUAACUCCGUGCCAGCAGCCGCGGUAAUACGGAGGAUGCGAGCGUUAUCCGGAUUUAUUGGGUUUAAAGGGUGCGUAGGCGGAUUGUUAAGUCAGCGGUAAAAUUGAGGGGCUCAACCACUCCCCGCCAUUGAAACUGGCGUUCUUGAGUGGGAGAGAAGUAUGCGGAAUUCGUGGUGUAGCGGUGAAAUGCGUAGAUAUCAGGAAGAACACCGGUGGCGAAGGCGGCAUGCUGGAGCGCGACUGACGUUGAGGCUCGAAAGCGUGGGUAGCGAACAGGAUUAGAUACCCGAGUAGUC